GCCCAGCCCUAAACUUUGAUGGUAUAAUACACCCACUAUCCGCCCGGGUACUACGAGCAUCAGCUUAAAACCCAAAGGACUUGGCGGUGCUUUAGACCCCCCUAGAGGAGCCUGUUCUAGAACCGAUACCCCCCGUUAAACCUCACCCUCUCUUGUUCAUUCCCGCCUAUAUACCGCCGUCGUCAGCUUACCCUGUGAAGGACCUAAAGUAAGCAAAACCAGUACAACUUAAAACGUCAGGUCGAGGUGUAGCAUAUGAGAGGGGAAGAAAUGGGCUACAUUCUCUGCCUCAGAAUACACGGACAAUGUCAUGAAAAAACAUUAGAAGGAGGAUUUAGCAGUAAGCAAAAAAUAGAGUGUUUUGCUGAAACUGGCCCUGAAGCGCGC
rnacentral:rRNA from 1 species